rnacentral:sRNA from 1 species
AAUUUUCACCUCAAAACAAAAACAAAAAAUAAAAAUAGAUAAUCAUAUAUAUGAAAGUUGGCCAACUCUCUUCAUAAGAUUGACACAUCAUCACUUUAGCAUUUGCUAUGUCUCUAUUAAAUAAUUAAUGUAAGCUCUUCAACUUUUAAUUUAUAGGUUAAUGAUUUUUUUUGUAAUCCAAACUCAAAAUAUGAGUGUAUAAUAGUCGUGGAUUACUUAAUGAUUUGAGUAAAUUAUUCUCUUAAAUAGAUAUUUAUAUAAUAAAUCUCUGAGGGUGAAAAAUACGUAAAGAGUUCCAUCAUCAAAUUUUUAGGUUUCUAGAAUCCAACACUACCCUCUCUUAAAUUGGUUUAAGACAAACAUUAUUUAUGAAUUAUAUGUAUGAUGCAUUGUUGAGAAUGUUAUUAGGAAAAAAUAUUU